rnacentral:snRNA from 1 species
GUGCCGCUUCAGCAGCACAUAUACUAAAGAUUGGAAUGAACAGAGAAGAUAGGCAUGGCGCCUUGUGCAAAGGAUGACACGCAGAAAUUUGUGAAGUGUUCCAUAUUUCA